rfam:Lepisosteus oculatus linkage group LG5, whole genome shotgun sequence.
GCCAGUGGCCAUAUCACCCUGCAACUCACAACUGGCAACCCACUGAAGCUAUGCAGGUAUGAGCCUGGCUAGUACCUGGAUGGGAGACUUCCUGGGAAAAGCUAAGGUUGCUGCUGGAA